rnacentral:misc_RNA from 1 species
AAUUCUCAAAAACCCUUUUCUUUGAUCGGAAUAGGGCUUUUGGACUUGGAGGUUCAAUGCCCGCUUUCACCUUUGAAAGUGAGCUCCUCCCAAACGAAUUAGUGGGGUCCGCUUUGCCGAUCCUUGACGUGAUAAAAUAUUUCUACGUUUUGGAUUUGGCACUGUUCCUUUUGGAUGCCUGCUUCUAACCGUCUCACAGACGACGAUGGUGCUCCGGUCUUUGCCACCUAUGUUGGCAGGAGGCUUGACCCACACAAAAAAUAUA